rnacentral:rRNA from 1 species
CCUACGGGAGGCAGCAGUGGGGGAUAUUGCACAAUGGGGGAAACCCUGAUGCAGCGACGCCGCGUGUGGGAAGACGGUCCUCUGGAUUGUAAACCACUGUCCCCAGGGACGAAGAUGACGGUACCUGGGGAGGAAGCUCCUGCUAACUAAGUGCCAGCAGCCGCGGUAAUACGUAGGGAGCGAGCGUUGUCCGGAAGUACUGGGUGUAAAGGGAGCGUAGGCGGGACUGCAAGUUGGGUGUCAAAUCUACCGGCUCAACCGGUAGCCGCACUCAAAACCGCAGGUCUUGAGUGAAGUAGAGGCAGGCGGAAUGCCUAGUGUAGCGGUGAAAGGCGUAGAUAUUAGGAGGAACACCAGUGGCGAAGGCGGCCUGCUGGGCUUUUACUGACGCUGAGGCUCGAAAGUGUGGGGAGCAAACAGGAUUAGAUACCCCUGUAGUC